rnacentral:lncRNA from 1 species
GCACUGAGUUAAUACAGUCUAUUUGGAAAGUGCAUCAGAAUGAAGUCACCUUUGUGGCAAGAUUCUGUCCUUUGUUUUUAUAUUUUUUAGAUAAUGUCUAAAGUACAAAAGGCAAAAAUAUCCCUUUCCUCCAGUUUGAAUCCAAGGGAUAAAAGGAGGAUACAGCAUAUAGGAGUCAGAACAAUCUACUUCAUAGUACAAUGGUCCUGCAUUGCAAAACAUGCCAACUCAGCUCAGAGUGUUCCAGUCUCAAAGCUGUAGGGUGAGUGAUCUCAUAACUUUUAUGGAAUGAAGGGGUUAGAAGUUCAUGGAGAAAGUUGAAUGAUGG